rnacentral:lncRNA from 1 species
AGACGUGCUCGUGUCAACACUUCCCUGGCUCUCAUUGCUAAGAUAAGAGGGUUUUUCACCGAAUUCAUCAUGAAGUUCGCGCUUUUCAUCGUUCUUGCGAUGGCCUCCCAGCUGCCCCGACCCACACAGUUAUAACAUCAACUGCUUCCGAUACGAAGACCUGUGCGACUCUGACUACGACUGCAAGCAUGGCAUGAAGUGUUGCCUCGUGGGUGGGUGUGGCCAUUGGUGCGUGAACGUGUGAAUAAUCCCUGCAGGACACGACAACGGAUUACCUUUGGAAACAAACGAUCCUGGUUUAACUUCUACUUGAUUUUAUGUGAUGUCGACUUGUUCAGAUGUAUUUGCAAAAAAGAAAUAAAAAAAUUAGGCACUG